GUCAACAAUAGGAACAUCAACAGGGACAUCUUUAGGAUACACAAGUGCAUCUCCAGGUUGUCAAAAAGCAUAAGGAAGACAUUGCAGAUAACAAUAUGAAAAUGAACAACUAUGAAGGACAAGAGGAUAACAGUAAUAAAAACACAUAGGGCACCGUCAACAACCAUGCAAGGAUAGGGCAUCUUCCAGAUGCAUAAAAAGAACAUACGGAUUGCACCACCUUCCAUUGAAAACUACCUCCAAACUAUCAUUAGAACUACUUCAUGAUCAUCCUAAGCAUGUCGUCAUAUUACGACUAAGUUUAUGUAAUAUGUCUGAAUUGUGAAAUCUAUGGAUUUGUAUGCACUUUUAUUAAGCUGAUUAUGUCAGUUUUGCUUCCAACUCGUGUCAAUACUUUUCCUUACAAUUGUUUCAAAUAUAUACUAUCUUCCUGUGACGUUUUGUCCUCAAUAUAUACUAUCUUCCUGUGACAUGUUCAA